UACAGAGGUCCCAAGCGUUGUUCGGAUUCACUGGGCGUAAAGGGUGCGUAGGUGGUGAGGUAAGUCGGAUGUGAAAUCUCCGAGCUCAACUCGGAAAUGGCAUUGGAAACUACCUUGCUCGAGGGUUGGAGGGGGGACUGGAAUACUUGGUGUAGCAGUGAAAUGCGUAGAUAUCAAGUGGAACACCAGUGGCGAAGGCGAGUCCCUGGACAACUCCUGACACUGAGGCACGAAAGCGUGGGGAGCAAACAGG
rnacentral:rRNA from 1 species